rnacentral:rRNA from 1 species
UACGUAGGGGGCAAGCGUUGUCCGGAAUCAUUGGGCGUAAAGCGCGCGUAGGCGGCUUUGUAAGUUAGAGGUGAAAGCCCGGGGCUCAACCCCGGAACUGCCUUUAAAACUGCAUCGCUUGAAUCCGGGAGAGGUGAGUGGAAUUCCGAGUGUAGAGGUGAAAUUCGUAGAUAUUCGGAAGAACACCAGUGGCGAAGGCGGCCAGCUGGGUCGUCCCUGACGCUGAGGCGCGAAGGCGUGGGGAGCGAACGGG